CAAAUAUCAGGAACCUAUUGAUAAUUUUCGCGCUUUGUAUUUAUAAACAGAUUUUGAUCAAGGUGUAACUCAUUGAAAAUACUAUGCACAGCUCUACACCAGUAGUAGGUAGUUCGAAGUCAAAGCCAUUAGAACAAGAGGCCCAUAGUAGCUCAGCCUACCCCACCACAAUAUCCAUCUACCAAGCAUGGUUAGAGUUCUAUUCAUUGUGGUAGGAAUCACAAUGAUGGAACGUGUUACUAACUCAACAAUGGCUGCUUCAAGUGUGGAAGUACCAGCAUCAGAUCCAUGACUGCCCUCAAGCUAAGGAGCAACCCAGGUUA
rnacentral:lncRNA from 1 species